rnacentral:rRNA from 1 species
AUUGAACGCUGGCGGCAUGCUUUACACAUGCAAGUCGAACGGUAACAGGGUGCUUGCACCGCUGACGAGUGGCGAACGGGUGAGUAAUGCGUCGGAACGUGCCGAGUAGUGGGGGAUAACGCAGCGAAAGUUGUGCUAAUACCGCAUACGUACUGAGGUAGAAAGUGGGGGACCUUCGGGCCUCACGCUAUUCGAGCGGCCGACGUCUGAUUAGCUAGUAGGUGAGGUAAAGGCUCACCUAGGCGACGAUCAGUAGCGGGUCUGAGAGGAUGAUCCGCCACACUGGGACUGAGACACGGCCCAGACUCCUACGGGAGGCAGCAGUGGGGAAUUUUGGACAAUGGGCGAAAGCCUGAUCCAGCCAUGCCGCGUGUCUGAAGAAGGCCUUCGGGUUGUAAAGGACUUUUGUCAGGGAGGAAAUCCCUAGUGCUAAUAACACUGGGGGAUGACAGUACCUGAAGAAUAAGCACCGGCUAACUACGUGCCAGCCGCCGCGGUAACAC